UUAAAUUGAAGAGUUUGAUCAUGGCUCAGAUUGAACGCUGGCGGCAGGCCUAACACAUGCAAGUCGAACGGUAACAGGAAUCAGCUUGCUGAUUUGCUGACGAGUGGCGGACGGGUGAGUAAUGUCUGGGAAACUGCCUGAUGGAGGGGGAUAACUACUGGAAACGGUAGCUAAUACCGCAUAACGUCGCAAGACCAAAGAGGGGGACCUUCGGGCCUCUUGCCAUCGGAUGUGCCCAGAUGGGAUUAGCUAGUAGGUGGGG
rnacentral:rRNA from 1 species